AUUGAACGCUGGCGGCAUGCCUUACACAUGCAAGUCGAACGGUAACAGGUCUUCGGAUGCUGACGAGUGGCGAACGGGUGAGUAAUACAUCGGAACGUGCCCGAGAGUGGGGGAUAACGAGGCGAAAGCUUUGCUAAUACCGCAUACGAUCUCAGGAUGAAAGCAGGGGACCGCAAGGCCUUGCGCUCACGGAGCGGCCGAUGGCAGAUUAGGUAGUUGGUGGGAUAAAAGCUUACCAAGCCGACGAUCUGUAGCUGGUCUGAGAGGACGACCAGCCACACUGGGACUGAGACACGGCCCAGACUCCUACGGGAGGCAGCAGUGGGGAAUUUUGGACAAGGGGCGCAAGCCUGAUCCAGCCAUGCCGCGUGCAGGAUGAAGGCCUUCGGGUUGUAAACUGCUUUUGUACGGAACGAAAAGACUUCUUCUAAUAAAGGGGGUCCAUGACGAUACCGUAAGAAUAAGCACCGGCUAACUACGUGCCAGCCGCCGCUGUAAAAC
rnacentral:rRNA from 1 species